UCUGAUAUGAAGAUAUACCGAGCGAAAGAAAUAAGGGAACACUUGGUAUUGUAGACCAAAUAUCGGUCACUAUUAGUGUUAUAAUAUCUGUAUAUAGUACAGUGAUGUAAUGUGCGAUUGAAUGUCAGUAAUAUGAGGAUGAAUGUCAGUAAUGGUUAACUUCCUGACAUUGUGGAUGAGGCUUUUGGUUGCAGUCACUCUUUCCUAUUAGUGUUGAUGUGAUCUUAUAUUUCUUUCCAUCAGUAUAUAAAGAAAUCAUGAAUAACAGCAGUUUCCACCAUAUACAAGAAUGUAUAGCUUUGGUUUUGGUACGAUAAUCCUGUGUUUUAAUAGGUUGAUCCUGUAUUGUGUUUAAUGUGUGGGUUUUGGCAUUGUAUGGCCAAUAGAAUGUUAUGAGCCACUGGUGUCUCACAUGAAGUGAUUCUUGACAACUGUUGCAGAAAACAUCUAUUUAAUGCUUACAUGUUUCUACCAGUUUAUUCUAUAUUUCUACCAUGUAAAUAUAUAGGUAUGUUAUUUUGAAUGAUUAACAACUGUCACAAUAUUUGUCAUUUGUUACAUACUAAUUGUACAUUUAGAAAUAAAAUAAAUUGUAAGGUAUUUCAAGGUAUAUAAAUAUGAUUAUUACAAGUAAUGUAUCUGUAAUAUGAUUUUUUUUUUCUUAUGUUCUUAAUAAAACAUGUAUAACAUGAAUCUGUUUGCGGUAACCUUCAGUUUGAAUUAGCGAGUAUAUGUAUAAAUAUAAAUAUACUUUUAUAUACUUUUUGGAUCUAAUUCACUAACCUCUAACAACUUUCUGAUCUUGCAGUACAAUACAAAAGUACUUUUAAUGAAAGUGUGAUGUGGCUUUGAUAAUUAGGCCCCAGGGCAAUUCCACGAAGCAAUCUUAGCACUAGGAUCACUUUAAGUUUAUAACUACCUUGUGCACUAAGAUGAUCUCAGCACUAAGAUUGCUUCGUGGAGUCUGAAUAGGGCCCUGGGCCCCGUUCCACAAAGUGAUCUUAGGGCUACAAUCGCUUCGUGGAACGGGGCCCUGGUCAUUAAGAAGUAGUUCUUAGAAAAUUCAACAAUAUAUUUAGAAUAAUCAUCCCAAGUUAUUAUAGUAUAUAUAUUAUUUAACUACAUGUUAAAUGUGUUAAUUUAUUUAUGUAUAAUGCACCACUUCAAUAUGGAUUGUAUGACUUGAAACUAUAUAUUGACAUUUGUUAUGACAAAUGCUGUAUGCAAUAAUGGCAGUACCUUUUCUGCUGGUCGUAUUAGAACCACUACAAAAUAAAAUAUGAAAGCAGAGUAGUUUGGAGUAAAUAUUUUGUCUAUUGAAUAUUAUGAAAGGCUUAUGUGUUAUUCCAUGUGAAUUUUUAGUGUUGUCAUACAUUUGCCAAUCCCACUGUCAUACAUUAAUCCAAGUAUCAUGCAUUAUAGUAUGCUAAAAAUCUCCAUUUAAUAAAUCACACUGAAUAAUAACAAUUUAUAUUUCUUAAUUUGUGUUUGACUUACGCAAUAUAUUUUUUAAGAAAGGAAGUUGUAUGUUACCGACAUAUUACUUAUAACAAUAUGCAUACUUAAAAUAAAAUAGUCAAACAAAUUUUUAAGAAAUCCAAAGUGCUGUUAUGAAAUGAUGCCGAAUAUUUAACCAAGUUAACUCAAAGAUAAUCUUAAAAUUUUGUUAUAAAAUGAUUUUUUUAAAAAGAGACUAUUUGACCAAAAUAACAGCCAAUAUAUCUACCAAGGUGACUGAUUUGUAAAUCAUAAAUGCCAAAUUGUCCAAUAAUGCUAUACCGUAAGAAGUUAUGAGUGCCCGCUGGGAUACUAAAAAUGUAGAUCGCCUAUAUUCUGAAUUAAUCCAGUGCAAACUGUGGCUAUAAAAUAGCAAUAUGGGGUCUUUUAUAAAGUUGGUAGUUACAUUUUUGUCAAGUUUGAUUCAUCAGUUUUAUAUGAUUUUAAUAAUGAAGAUAGUUAUCGUAAUUUUGUGAUGAUUUUUUUUUCUGAAGCUUUCCUUGGCACCUCAGUAUGUUGACUACAUAUUUCCUAUCAACAUUAUGACCAAAUGUUUUUGUUUGCUAAGAUGAGUGAUUUCUAAUAAUUUGUAAAAUUGUAGUCUCUUACGCAGUAUUACGUUUAAUGCCUUUUUUCUCUUUUUGUUUGUUUGUUUGACAUUGUUGUGAUAUUCUAUUAUGUUGUGUCAAAAUGUUUAUAAAUGUGUAAAUGGUAUAGUACUGACGAAUUCUAUUUGCAAAGUGCUUUAUAUAUCUUGUCAAGAUAUGACUGAUAUAGAUGAGAUUUAUUUCUUAUUUGAUUAUCACUACAUUUUGUUUCUGAUUUUAUUAUUUGGUUAUUUAUGUGAAACUGAAAUUCUUGAAAAGGAAACUGAUAUUGUUACAACUUUCUUUUUCGAAUUAUUAUAUCAGCUUUUCUGAUUAUGAAAAAUUAUACUUAAGACUUUUGUACAGUGUAUCAGUCAAGAUAAAAAUGUUAAAUAUAA